CCGAGGCCCGAUCCAGUCCAGCACGCGCGCCUCCUCGCCCUCGCGUUUCUUCUCGUUCGAGCGCUCGCCACAAGCGGCUCCACUUCUCCGCUGGUGCGGCGACGGCGACGGCGACGGCGACGGAGGCCCUUGCGCCGGAGAAGCCCAUGCCGCAUCUACGUCCGACAGCCUGCGACCAGGACAAUGAGGAAGCCCUAACUCUGGGGUUGGGCCGUCCCUUGGUAGGGCCCCACCCUAACGGCCCAAUGAGAGAUACCCAAGCCCGCAGCAGCUGCAGCACCGUUCGCUCCGAGAGUGGCUGCGCGGGAGACGGCGCGCUACGAGCGUGAGAAAACGAAGGGUUGGUUUGGUUUGUGGUCUAAAUAGGCCUUACCAAAUUUUACCAAUGCUAAAUUUUGGCAAGUUUUAGCAUGACUAAUUUUGGUAAGGCAAAGUUGUGUUUGGAUUGAAGCCAAAAUAGCCUAAGUUCACUAUUGAAAUGGCCUAUUUUCUUAGGCAUGCCAAAAUUUGGCUUCAAACCAAAUAGACACACUAUUGAAAUUGCCAAAUAUUGAUAUCCCUAAUUUAGGCCUAAGCCAAACCAGCCCGAAGAAGCCGGGCCCACUACUGCCCGAGGUUCGCACGCGGGAGGGAGUGGAGCGAUGUGGACGCAAGGAGAAUCGAGCACGUCGGCCCGAAUUCGCCCGGAGCGCAGCAAUUCGCCAUCAUCUUUAAUUUACCCCGAUGCUAUAAUAUUAUUAUGAAGUAUUCAAAUUACUCCGGAUCUUCACUAAUAGUUGCAUAUAAUGUUAUAAUUUAUAAUAUAAACAUGUAAGUGUAACUUACGUGCCCUUACCCUUAUGAUAUGUUAUUUCCGAUGGUUUAUUCAACUAAUUUCAUUUUUUUUA